rnacentral:rRNA from 1 species
UAAGACCUUGCAGCUUUUGGAGCGGCCGAUGUCUGAUUAGCUAGUUGGUGGGGUAAUGGCCUACCAAAGCUUCGAUCAGUAGCUGGUCUGAGAGGACGGCCAGCCACACUGGGACUGAGACACGGCCCAGACUCCUACGGGAGGCAGCAGUGGGGAAUUUUGGACAAUGGGCGCAAGCCUGAUCCAGCCAUGCCGCGUGAGUGAAGAAGGCCUUCGGGUUGUAAAGCUCUUUCAGCCGGGAAGAAAAGGUUGCGAUUAAUAAUCGCAAUUUAUGACGGUACCGGAAGAAGAAGCACCGGCUAACUACGUGCCAGCAGCCGCGGUAAUACGUAGGGUGCGAGCGUUAAUCGGAAUUACUGGGCGUAAAGGGUGCGCAGGCGGUUUUGUAAGUCAGAUGUGAAAUCCCCGGGCUUAACCUGGGAACU